rnacentral:rRNA from 1 species
GCUUAACGCGAAGAACCUUACCUACCUUUGAAUCCACGGAACCUAGCAGAGAUGUUGGGGUGCCUUCGGGAACCGUGAGACAGGUGCUGCAUGGCUGUCGUCAGCUCGUGUCGUGAGAUGUUGGGUUAAGUCCCGUAACGAGCGCAACCCUUGUCCUUAGUUGCCAUCAGGUUAUGCUGGGCACUUUAAGGAGACUGCCGGUGAUAAACCGGAGGAAGGUGGGGAUGACGUCAAGUCCUCAUGGCCCUUACAGGUAGGGCUACACACGUGCUACAAUGGGCAGUACAGAGGGAAGCCAACCCGCGAGGGGGAGCGAAUCUCAUAAAGCUGUUCGUAGUCCGGAUUGGAGUCUGCAACUCGACUCCAUGAAGUUGGAAUCGCUAGUAAUCGCGGAUCAGAAUGCCGCGGUGAAUACGUUCCCGGGUCUUGUACACAC